UACGUAGGGUGCAAGCGUUGUCCGGAAUUAUUGGGCGUAAAGAGCUCGUAGGCGGUCUGUCGCGUCGGCUGUGAAAACUCGGGGCUCAACCCCGAGCCUGCAGUCGAUACGGGCAGACUAGAGUGCUGUAGGGGAGACUGGAAUUCCUGGUGUAGCGGUGAAAUGCGCAGAUAUCAGGAGGAACACCGGUGGCGAAGGCGGGUCUCUGGGCCGACACUGACGCUGAGGAGCGAAAGCGUGGGGAGCGAACAGG
rnacentral:rRNA from 1 species